CCUUCUCAAAUCAAUUGAAUUCCCAAAAUCAUAAAUCUAAUAUUUCUUCUCCCUUAACAAUCCCCAAACCUUUAUUUUUUUCUCUUCAUGGCUUCGUCAUCUCCAAAUCAUUUUACAUUCAAAAUUGGUUGUCUUCGUAUUCUUGCACGAAAAGAGGAAUAUGAAGGUUUCAUCCAUUUCUCAAGAUUUGUAGAAUCGAAAUUCUCAAAAGAGCACCCGUGCUUGAACAACCACUUCUAAGAACCAAUUUCAUAGUUGGCUAUCCUCAUAAAUGGAACGAUCAUUUGAGUAUGUGAUUCACAUUGAAGAUAGGAUUAAAGGCAGGCCUUCGUAGAAGUAUUGCCUUCAAAAAACUUGACUAUGUUUGGGAAAUGUUGGAUGAUGUUUAUUGAGAAAUGUUUAUGGAAUCUUGUUUCAGACAACUAUAUUGAAUGAAGCGUAUACCUUUUUCACACAACUA